GUUUCUCCAGAAAUGUCUUCUUAUUUGUCUGUUAUAUUCUAUUGACCCCAAACUUUAAGAUGAUGGCUUCAGAAAGACGCUUCAUGAGAGUAGUGGCAAAGACUAAAGAGGAGCCCAAAUCUGCUUCUCAUUCUCUUCCCCAACAAUAGACACCCUGUGUUGGAUCAAAGAAAUUGUAAAGAGCAAGACGAAUUCAGUGUAGCCUCCCAAAGGACUGCUCAAAGAUCUCCAGGUAAAGAAAAAUCUGUUCUGGAAACAGGGGGAAAAAGGAAAAUGGAAUAAAAUAAUAAUCUGCUGCAUCAGUUAAGAAUUUUAGGAAAGAGAUAAAGAUAGCAGG
rnacentral:lncRNA from 1 species